rnacentral:rRNA from 1 species
GGUAAACGCUGGCGGCGUGCCUAAAACAUGCAAGUCGAACGGGCAGUCUUCGGAUUGUCAGUGGCAGACGGCUGAGUAACGCGUGGGUGACGUACCUAUCGGUGGGGAAUAACUGCCCGAAAGGGUGGCUAAUACCGCAUACGUCCGCUGGAGUGGUCCAGUGGGGAAAACCGCAAGGUGCCGAUGGAGCGGCCCGCGUCCGAUUAGCUGGUUGGUGAGGUAAUGGCUCACCAAGGCGACGAUCAUUAGCUGGUCUGAGAGGAUGAUCAGCCAGACUGGGACUGAGAACGGCCCAGACUCCUACGGGAGGCAGCAGUAGGGAAUUUUCCACAAUGGGCGAAAGCCUGAUGGAGCAACGCCGCGUGCAGGAUGAAUG